CCUACGGGAGGCAGCAGUGGGGAAUAUUGCACAAUGGGGGAAACCCUGAUGCAGCGACGCCGCGUGAGUGAAGAAGUAUUUCGGUAUGUAAAGCUCUAUCAGCAGGGGAGAAAAUGACGGUACCUGAGUAAGAAGCCCCGUCUAACUACGUGCCAGCAGCCGCGGUAAUACGUAGGGAGCAAGCGUUAUCCGGAUUUACUGGGUGUAAAGGGAGCGUAGACGGCAGAACAAGUCUGGAGUGAAAUGCUGGGGCUUAACCCCGGAACUGCUUUUGAAACUGUGCAGCUAGAGUGCAGGAGAGGUGAGUGGAAUUCCUGGUGUAGCGGUGAAAUGCGUAGAUAUUAGGAGGAACACCAGUGGCGAAGGCGGCUUACUGGACUGUAACUGACGUUGAGGCUCGAAAGCGUGGGGAGCAAACAGGAUUAGAUACCCCGGUAGUC
rnacentral:rRNA from 1 species